ACACCAAAAAUAGCCUUUAGCAAAACAAUAAUGCUACCUUUUAUUUGACCCUUUCAGUGUCGUGUCAACAGUAUACAGUAAAUAUUUCCAUCCCCGGAAUUCUACGAAAAGGAAUAUCCUUCACCCGGAAUAACAUUUUGACUACGAUAUUACGUGGUACCGGAAGUUGCGUAAGCUGAAAUUCCACUACCCGUAACCCGGAUGGGGGUGUAAUGCCGCGGGAGCGUAAAUACACGCAACACCCACCCGAUGCGACGGAAAAGACUGACACUGAAACAAGUUUUCACUUCGCGUUUUUCGAUCAUCAGAUUCUAAACGACGACGUAACGCGACACUAUCUUAAAAGCAGCACCCACUCGACAUGACCGAAGAAACGUGUUUGCUUUGCCGUUUUCAUUCAUCAGAUUCGAAACGAAGACGUAUCAUCGCAUCGAAACGUAGAAGAACUGUAACAACUGGAGCGGAACGAGUUAAAUGCAUCCAUUUGAGCAGGCUGGACACAAAGUUAAAAAGAUCCAGCAGACACUUGGAGUCGGAAAGACGCAAAUUUACGAAACUUUAAAAAACAAGGCAUCGAUUCAACUCCUGAUGACAAGCCACCAUCCAGCAAGGAAGCAAUACAAAUGGCAACAAAAAUCCUUCAGUAUGCACAAGAAUUACCAGACAUCAGUGAUCAACGGGACAGUUACUUGCAACUAGCAAAAAAAACUGUAUGACACGCAGGCAAACAUCGUCAUAAACCAAAGAAUGCAUCUAACAAAACAAUCCAAAAUACAUUUUUUUUCCCAAGACAGAAAAAAAUAAACAUUAAAAUACUGUAUGUAUUUUACUGUUGUGAUUUUUUUGGGAUACACCUGUAUUGCAGUUUUUGUUAUAUAAACAGUUUUUGGACAGUA